rnacentral:misc_RNA from 1 species
GACGAAGGAUAAUAGCGUUAGGGGAAUGCACGUAUAUUUAUAUAUUUAUCUUAUUUUCUUAUUAAUUUCUGCCAUCUUCAUAAAUUUGAUCAAAAAAUAUUUUUCCGUUUCUCAAUGAGAGUAUUUUUUUUUAAAUGAUUUAAUUUUCCAACAUACCACUAACAUAAAAAAAUACAGAAGAUAUUUUGCUUAAAACCAAAUAAUAUUGGAAGCGUUUUCAACCAAUGCGGCGAUGCCAACCACGACAUCGGAUAUUACCGACAGGGAUUCCCUUGGUAGUAACAGUAAAUAUAGAAGAGUAAUAUGAAGUUCAAUCAGCCAAGUCGUAAAUCGCAUGAAUAUUCUUCAGCCAAAACUUAGCAGCACGUAUGCCUGAUUGCUGGGCAAUGCUGCUUAACAUUUAUGAUAUUUUCCAUAAGAAAAGAAGAUUCAAAUAUCGGCAGUUUUCAAGUUGAAAACUCAACUCAAAUGACAUAAUUUUGCAGAAACAGCAAAAUUGCAUUUCAGAAAUU